GCGCAGGCGCCGCCCUUCUCUCUUUUCGGCGUCGGUUUCGUGGCGGGAAGUCAUGGCGGCCUCAGGCUGGUCCGAGCUAGGCCGGCAACCUCGGACCUUUGGCGGCGGCCUUUGUUUGGCAACUGCAGAGAUGGUGAGAAGCCGACGUGCACGUUGAAGCUUAAAACCAGCGAAUGGAACCCUGAAAUGAGUAAGAAUGGAUGCAGAUUAAAGAUGUUGGCUGUGGACUUGGAAAAAAGUCACAUGAAAACCAUCGUUCAAAGAUACUGAGUGUAAGGAUCUUUGUGAUGAAAUUUCUGUGAAUGGUACAGUCUCAGCCUCAGUUUGAGGCCGAAAAGGAUGCUCCAGAACAAGACACUAACUAGCAGCAGUGCCGUUUCCGCUGCCCUGGACCCGAGGCGGAAUUUCUCUCGUGUGUGUAAUGGAGAAGAUCUUUGGAACAGGCUUGGGGGGAGUGUUCUUUUUGCUUCCCCUGUCCUGGCCUUUGAGUUGUGCUGAGUGGCAGGGAGACUUUGACUUAGGUUUGUCUUCUUCGCCGGGUGUCUGCAGUGAGUGAGACAGAAUUGAACUGCUUUGCCUGAAGCAGGUGAAACGAUGAUUCUUCUCGUGUUUGUAAGCUUUCUCUUUCUUCUUACGUGUCCCAAAGAAGCCCCACAAGCCUAUGAUGGUUAGUUAUCCCCGUCUGAAAAUCUCAACUGAUGGAAAACCAUCUGUUCUGAGGCUUAAGGGGCUGGCCCUGUGCUCUUAAAAGAAGUUCAGGCUCUAAGGGAUCGAAUUGAAUGGACUCCACAGGGAAUUGUGCAUACCCUGCCAAGACCCCAGUCCUAAUGCAUUCACCCCUCUGCAGCUUGAAAAGCAGUGGUGUGGCUGCCCUGUCACACUUUAGGCCCCUUGAUUAAUGGCUCUGAGGGCACAGGCUGUAAGAGGUGGCAGAAGUGGGCAAGUGGCCCAGAUUUGGUUUAUACUCUUAUUGUGGAAUGAAAGGGUGCUUGUCACAUAUUUCAAGAAAAUGAAUGUGCUGUUUGAAACAGACGGGAAUGGCAGUUGUAUGGCAGCUGUGGCAGUGAGAACACUUCAGGACUAUCUGACCUCUUCCCCUUGCACCGUAUCCUGACAUUCAGGAAAGACGGUACAGUGGCACUAGCAGAGCGAUUUGGUUUCCAGGUGCUUUGUUAACACCAGGGAGCUCUCCUGGUGUUCGCUCAGCUCUGUCUGAAUGGCAUGGCUGGCAUGUGAGCAAGAGAGUAGCAGAGUGGAGCUGGGCUUUGUUCCCAUUUAAAUGCCGGGCUUGAACUGGACACAGAUUGCCUUUCUUUUCUGUUGAAGUUGGGAGGUGUGUGCAGCUCUUUAUACGUAAGGUCACAUAUUUGUUCGGUCACCAAGGAAGCUAUAUUUGGAGUGAGAUUUAAAGAGCCUGAAAACCGGUCCAAGCAGCUUAUAGCUGGGAGUAAAACAAAGCAAAAGGACGUGUUAGCAAGUGAGAAAGUCUACCUCCUGGGUUAUAGCCUGCUUCUGCGUGGACUUGACUGCUCUGUGGGACCCAAGUGAACCUGUAGGUUUGUUUCUGUUUCUGUUUUUUUUUUAAGCUGCGCCGCACAGCUUGUGGGAUCUUAGUUCCUCAGCCAGGGGUUGACCCCUGGCCCUUGGCAGUGAGAGUGAUGAGUCCUAACCGCUGGACUGCCAGGGAAUUCCCGAACGUGUAGGUUUGACUCCAGAGGGUUGAAUAUAAAUGUGGCCAGCACUUCAUGGCCGCUCUUUACUGGUACUGGCCACUUGCCAGAUUCUGCUUCCUCAGAUCACAGUCUCCCAAAAAGGGGAGUCAUCGGGAACCACCAGGCUGCACUGAAUUGAUCUGGUGGUGCCUUACACGCACACACACAUGCACGCACGUGCGUAAUGACUGAUUGCUCAGAGUUCCUCUAGGAUCACCUUUUUUUCUCUAGUUUUUUCUUUAAAUUUAACCUCAGUUUUGAGUCUCUUAGUUGGCUGCUGCAUCAAAUGAUUCUUUGGUUUUUUUGUUUUUUGGUUUUUAAUGCGGUACGCGGGCCUCUCACUGUUGUGGCCUCUCCCAUUGCAGAGCACAGGCUCCGGGUGCGUAGGCUCUGUGGCAUGUGGGAUCUUCCCGUACCGGGGCACGAACUCGCGUCCCCUGCAUCAGCAGGUGGACUCUCAACCACUGCGCCACCAGGGAAGCCCGAUUCUCUGGUUUUAUAGGUUGCCUCCCAGUGAUGCCAGAUGGGAUCAGCACAGCCCCAGGUGCUAGUUGCUAACGCCUAUAAAAUACCACCACCCCCUUCAAAGGAGAAUCAUUUAAGAGUUCUUUGGACUUCAUCUUCAAAAGUAGCCAAAGAAUUCAAGUGACAGGGUAUCCCAGAAGUGAAAUCCCAGUUAGUGAAAUUAGGGUAUAACUAAGAACAUUCAGAAUACUGCACACAGUUUAGGUGAUCUUGGUAUAGUAGCGGGACAGCAGUGAUUACAAAAUGAAAGUAAUUAACAUGUGCAUGCUCUGUUGGGGAGACUAAAAGGAAAGAGGUGUUCAGCCCAGAAAGACAUUUCUCAGUGGAUUUCCUAUGAAGUCAAUGUGUCUUGGGUAUAACUUUGAAACAAAUUUAAAAAUUUUAAAACUGACUUACUAGCAUUUGUGGAUUUCAGAUUGAGACCCGUGUAAAAGCAGUGUUUUAUUCUGUGACUCAGCAUAUUCUUUUAUAAGUGAAAGUUUCAGAAUAGUUGCGGGUAACAGGAUGCAAUCAGAUGUUCUGGUGUUUAUAAGUUUCCCACUAAAUUGUUCUUAUACCCCUCUGACCGGUUGACAGGUUUUGGUAACUACAGAUGUGAUGGGAAUGGGGAAAAUAAAGUAUGGAUAAAAAUGGGUCCAGGCACCGGGAAGCUGUGGUUUCCCAGUAGCGGCUGUAGUCAUUAAAGCCUAAAUGUCCUCUCGCUUAA